CAUGGUCGAAAGCCCGCCCCUUUCUUUCAUUGCUGUGGAUUACGGAGUGUGACGUUGGUCCACCAAGGCUGUGUAUGUGGGGUGCGCAGCUUACUCUGUGCGGUGUGCCUUCAAGGCUCCCAUCUGUGCAUCAUGGCAGCAUAAUAGCCAGGUCAGAGCACUAGCUGUUAAUAUACCAACUAAAGGAGCUACUAUAUGACUUUGUGUGUGGUUGUGAGUGUUACGUCAUCUAAUUAUAGGGUGAGUAAA